rnacentral:rRNA from 1 species
CCUACGGGAGGCAGCAGUGGGGAAUAUUGGACAAUGGGGGGAACCCUGAUCCAGCGACGCCGCGUGAGUGAAGAAGUAUUUCGGUAUGUAAAGCUCUAUCAGCAGGGAAGAAAGAAAUGACGGUACCUGACUACGAAGUCCCGGCUAACUACGUGCCAGCAUCCGCGGUAAUACGUAGGGGUCAAGCGUUAUCCGGAUUUACUGGGUGUAAAGGGACCGUAGACGGCGAUGCAAGUCUGAAGUGAAAGGCGGGGGCCCAACCUCCGGACUGCUUUGGAAACUGUAUGGCUGGAGUGCAGGAGAGGUAAGUGGAAUUCCUAGUGUAGCGGUGAAAUGCGUAGAUAUUAGGAGGAACACCAGUGGCGAAGGCGGCUUACUGGAAUGUAACUGACGUUGAGGCUCGAAAGCGUGGGGAGCAAACAGGAUUAGAUACCCCUGUAGUC